rnacentral:lncRNA from 1 species
GGAGCAUUUCGAUGCCUGCUCUAUACUGGUAAUUUUCGCUGGGAAGCAAGUAAUGAGAGGGCCGAGAUAGGAAGGAACACGCUCGUCAAAGCUUUAAAAGAUGAUGUAGUAUAACACAUUGCAAUCCAUCAUAUGCUUUUCCUUCACAACUAGUUGCAGCUCAACAGGUACACUUUUUAAAUUUCUCAUCUACGUUAUCUUUACUUUUUUUUUGUUAAUUUAAAACCCCCAGGAUGGUGGGGGGCUUAGGCAGGAUCCCUACUUAUAAUAUAAAUCCGAAAAUGGUACAAGUACAAAGGAGGGGGACAACGACUAAUAUCUCCUAGAAAAAUUGAAAGGAAAAGAUAAAAGAACUAAAAGAAGACAAAUGGACGACAGAAACGCAGCGCCCACUGCCGUUUCACGAGUUUCCUUUGUCUUCUUUUAGUUCCGCGUGGGACCAUAAUAAAUAAUAAAAUAAAGAAUCCUAACAUAUAUAAAACACAUUUAGAAAUUGUCAUAAUUUAUUCCAUUAUUUCCAGCCAUUUAAAUUAAGAAAAAUCCUAACAUAUAUAAAACACAUUCAAAAAUUGUUAUAAUUUAUUCCAUUAUUUCCAGCCAUUUAAAUUAAAAAAAAUCCUAACAUAUAUAAAACACAUUCAGAAAUCGUUAUAAUUUAUUCCAUUAUUUCCACCCAUUUAAAUUAAAAAAAUCAUAACAAUUUAAAUAUAUAAAAAAACAAAAAUCUACGAAUUUUUACAAUUUAAAUUAAAUAUUCUAACCAUUUAAAUAUAUAGAGCACAACAAAAAUUUUAUUUGAAUGUAAUGAGAGUCACCAACUUACCAAUUAAUCAGUACCAAUUUUAUCAAGUUGCCUCUGUUUGCAGAUCCAGAUAUAACUUCUUCCUUGUGAUAAGCGAGAUGCAAAGAGGGAACCGAUUUUUCCUUGUUAAAUGUAGAUGACUCACGUUAAAUGAGAGGUGAGAGAUGGAGAGAGAGAAGACAACAAGAAAAAUCGGAACUAAAAAAGUGCUGCUAUUGUCAUCUCUUUU